rnacentral:rRNA from 1 species
CAGCCGCCGCGGUAAUACGUAGGUGGCAAGCGUUGUCCGGAAUUAUUGGGCGUAAAGCGCGCGCAGGCGGAUCAGUUAGUCUGUCUUAAAAGUUCGGGGCUUAACCCCGUGAGGGGAUGGAAACUGCUGAUCUAGAGUAUCGGAGAGGAAAGUGGAAUUCCUAGUGUAGCGGUGAAAUGCGUAGAUAUUAGGAAGAACACCAGUGGCGAAGGCGGCUUUCUGGACUGUAACUGACGCUGAGGCUCGAAAGCCAGGGGAGCGAACGGGAUUAGAUACCCCCGUAGUCCCUGUCUCUUAUACA